rnacentral:rRNA from 1 species
GAUUAACGCUGGCGGCGUGCAUGAAACAUGCAAGUCGAGCGCGGGAUGUGGCUUCGGUCACAUCUCUAGCGGCGCACGGGUGAGUAACACGUGAGCAACCUACCUUCGAGUCGGGGAUAGCCCUGGGAAACCAGGAUUAAUACCCGAUGUGAUCACGACGAGACAUCUCGAUGUGAGCAAAGGCGAAAGCCGCUCGAUGACGGGCUCGCGGCCUAUUAGCUUGUUGGUGGGGUAACGGCCUACCAAGGCGAUGAUGGGUAGCUGGUCUGAGAGGACG